UACAGAGGUCUCAAGCGUUGUUCGGAUUCAUUGGGCGUAAAGGGUGCGUAGGUGGCGCGGUAAGUCGGGUGUGAAAUUUCGGAGCUUAACUCCGAAACUGCAUUCGAUACUGCCGUGCUUGAGGACUGGAGAGGAGACUGGAAUUUACGGUGUAGCAGUGAAAUGCGUAGAUAUCGUAAGGAAGACCAGUGGCGAAGGCGGGUCUCGUGGACAGUUCCUGACGCUGAGGCACGAAGGUCAGGGGAGCAAACGGG
rnacentral:rRNA from 1 species